AUUGAACGCUGGCGGCAGGCCUAACACAUGCAAGUCGAACGAGUGGCGGACGGGUGAGUAAUGUCUGGGAAACUGCCUGAUGGAGGGGGAUAACUACUGGAAACUGUAGCUAAUACCGCAUACCAUCAGAUGUGCCCAGAUGGGAUUAGCUAGCAGGUGGGGUAACGGCUCACCUAGGCGACGAUCCCUAGCUGGUCUGAGAGGAUGACCAGCCAAACUGGAACGGAGACACGGUCCAGACUCCUACGGGAGGCAGCAGUGGGGAAUAUUGCACAAUGGGGGCAAGCCUGAUGCAGCAAUGCCGCGUGUAUGAAGAAGGCCUUCGGGUUGUAAAGCACUUUAAGAGAGGAGGCGUUACCCGCAGAAGAAGCACCGGCUAACUCCGUGCCAGCAGCCGCGGUAAUAC
rnacentral:rRNA from 1 species